rnacentral:rRNA from 1 species
UGGGGAAUCUUGCGCAAUGGGGGCAACCCUGACGCAGCCAUACCGCGUGUGCGAUGAAGGCCCUCGGGUUGUAAAGCACUUUUGGCGGGGACGACGAUGACGGUACCCGCAGAAUAAGUCACGGCUAACUUCGUGCCAGCAGCCGCGGUAAUACGAAGGUGGCGAAUGUUACUCGGAUUCACUGGGCGUAAAGCGUCCGCAGGUGGUUUGUUAAGUCAGAGGUGAAAGCCCCGCGCUCAACGUGGGAAUUGCCUUUGAAACUAGCCAACUAGAAGGCAGGAGAGGGUAGGCGGAAUAUCUGGUGUAGAGGUGAAAUUCGUAGAUAUCAGAUGGAACAUCCAUGGCGAAGGCAGCUUACUGGCCUGUACUUGACACUCAGGGACGAAAGCGUGGGGAGCAAACA